UACGAAGGGGGCUAGCGUUGCUCGGAAUCACUGGGCGUAAAGGGUGCGUAGGCGGGUCUUUAAGUCAGGGGUGAAAUCCUGGAGCUCAACUCCAGAACUGCCUUUGAUACUGAAGAUCUUGAGUUCGGGAGAGGUGAGUGGAACUGCGAGUGUAGAGGUGAAAUUCGUAGAUAUUCGCAAGAACACCAGUGACGAAGGCGGCUCACUGGCCCGAUACUGACGCUGAGGCACGAAAGCGUGGGGAGCAAACAGG
rnacentral:rRNA from 1 species